UUGCAUGUGAUGUGGACAGUCUCCCAAGUAACCCUUGUACCUCUCCCAUGCUUGUGGUAGAGAUUCAGAAUCUUUCUGAGUGAAACUAGCAAUUUUCCCUCUUAGCCC